GCAGAAUUUAUUAAAUUCAUGAAAAACCUUAAACUGGAAUAUCCCAAGAAGAUUGAGACGGCCCUUCCAGCAAAUCUUGCUGACGGAGAAGAACAAGUGAACGAGGCUGUUGUUCAUCAAAUUCGCCAUGGAUGAUAAAACAAGGGAAUGAGUUGAAGACUUGUUAUGAUAUAUCGUACAAAUACAUCAAGAUGAAUUUAGGAACGUCUAUGUUUUUGUUGUGAGUAUUGACUAGUAUUUAUAUAUAUCUGUAUGUAAUGUCUCAUAGAUAGGACAAGUUUUAACUAUAAUAUUAAACAUUAACCGAAACUUGACCACUACACUAAACAGUAUAAUCAUCAAUAAACAAUUAUUGGAUGAGGUUGAGCA